rnacentral:rRNA from 1 species
GGGGGGCAAGUAGAGUGGCGCACGGGUGAGUAACACGUAGGUAAUCUACCUUUGGAUUGGGAAUAACAACCGGAAACGGUUGCUAAUACCGAAUAAUGCAGCGGCACCUAAUGGUGACAGUUGUUAAAGCGGGGGAUCGCAAGACCUCGCGUCUAAAGAGGAGCCUGCGGCGGAUUAGCUAGUUGGUAAGGUAACGGCUUACCAAGGCGAUGAUCCGUAGCCGGCCUGAGAGGGCGGUCGGCCACACUGACACUGACAUACGGGUCAGACUCCUACGGGAGGCAGCAGUCGGGAAUUUUGGGCAAUGGGCGAAAGCCUGACCCAGCAACGCCGCGUGAAGGAUGAAAUCCCUCGGGAUGUAAACUUCGCAAGAACGGGAAGAAUAAGUGAGAGUUAAUAUCUUUCACGAUGACGGUACUGUUUGUAAGCUCCGGCUAACUCCGUGCCAGCAGCCGCGGUAAUACGGGGGGAGCAAGCGUUGUUCGGAUUUACUGGGCGUAAAGGGCGCGUAGGCGGCCACCACAAGUCGACUGUGAAAUCUCCGGGCUUAACCCGGAAAGGCCAGCCGAUACUGCGGGGCUAGAGUGCAGAAGGGGCAACUGGAAUUCUCGGUGUAGCGGUGAAAUGCGUAGAUAUCGAGAGGACACNUGCGGCGAAGGCGGGUUGCUGGGCUGAUACUGACGCUGAUGCGCGAAAGCUAGGGGAGCGAACGGGAUUAGAUACCCCGGUAGUCCUAGCC